rnacentral:misc_RNA from 1 species
AAACCCGCCGGGCUCGAGCCGCCAUUUUCCUAAUUUCCUAAUCAAAAUAAGUUAGAAGUUGUGUUGUAUUGCAAUCGAUAAUCGAUUUGACGAAUAUUUUAUAUCUUCAGUGCAUUACAUAUAGAUUCAGUGCUUUCGUAGUAAUGUAAACAUCUUCAAUAAAGUUAUAAAUCUUGAGUAAAAUGUCUCGCUACGGCGAUUGUAAGGUGUACGUAGGAGACUUGGGCAACAAUGCUAGUAAGCCUGAGUUAGAAGAUGCUUUCUCAUACUACGGUCCGCUGAGAAAUGUGUGGGUGGCCAGAAAUCCCACCGGUUUUGCUUUCGUUGAAUUUGAGGAUCCUCGCGAUGCUGAAGACGCAAUACGUGGCUUAGAUGGCCGAACGAUAUGUGGUCGUCGAGCACGUGUGGAAAUGUCCAAUGGAGGUCGUGGCUACAGUGGUCGCGGGCCUCCUCCGCGCUCCCGUCCACCACCUCGUCCCUAUGAUGAUCGUUGCUAUGACUGUGGUGAUCGUGGACACUAUGCCAGGGACUGCACCCGCCGCCGCCGACGCAGGUUAUCUUUGUCCUGUGCACCGAGACUGAACUCUUCAGUGUCUGCACUUAUUGUCUGCGCUACCUAGUGUUCACUUCGCUUCGUGUACUCCUCAAAUGUUGGCAGCGACUGUAACUUCGCUCUGCGAACUGCGUAACGUCAGGCUACAUGCACACUUCACUUGUUGAGAAGUUACAUUGGGUGUAAUGUUUGUACUGCGUAUUGCGACACACUUCUGUUGUUGUUCCUACGUGCGCCCACCGCUCCCGCUCCCGCCGCCGCACUCGCUCCCGCUCCCCGCGGUCGG